GGUUGGGGAUUGGAGGGGAGGGUUUCAAAGUUGGUGUAGGGGAGAGGGCUGGCAAGGCACAGUCCCCUUGGGGCAGGUCAAGGGACAGGUUACUCUUGAGCACAAUGUCAGUGUGUACAGGGCAGGGCAGCUCCAACCUGUGUCUGGCGUGUACUUCGUGUUGUCUGUUUUCCGUGUCUCAGACUGUAUGUUCCUUGGGUCUCGGUGCCUCCAUAGCUUGGUGGUCAGCAGGCACCUCAGUAGCCCUCCCAAGAGUCCAGAAUGCAUCGCUUCACUGGCACAGAGCCUGUUGAGCCCUUCUCAUCUCAGAAUUACAGCUUGACGUGUGGAUUUCUUUGGCAUGUGUCACAUCCUGGCUGUUUUGGAGCGUUCAUCUCUUGCUGUUGCCAGCCAGGUGCUGCCCGCAGCUCUGCUUGUGAGUCUCCUGUUUCCACAGAGUUGUCAUCUGGGGUUUCAUCCCUGUGUCCUCACUGGUCUUAAGUCUUCAAGCAUGGCUUCUCACACAUCCCUUAUUCUGGUUUUGAUGGCAGCUUUCUCUUGUGUGUGGUGGCAAUUGCCUCUCCUUGGCAGGUCUGCUUUAGAUCAUCUGUACCAUCGUGGCACUGUAGGGCUUCUUUACUGGCAUCAUUUUCCCUAUGGCAAUCUUUCACUGAGCAAGGACGAGAGACUUAUAGAAAGUUACAAAGGUCUUGUGAAACAAAGAUCCUGAUCUUGUUGAAACAAGAAGAUGGGGAAGCACGUGCUUUGCUUAAAAUGUGGCAGAAUUGCCGAUGUUGCUGUAGCUGAGUGACCUCUGCGCGUGACAAAAUCAACAAUAUGGAAACCAGACCUUCAGCAUUUAGGCUGCCCACCUCCAACUGAAGACCUACCCACUGUGUGUGCUGUACCUCAAAAUCGGAGUGAGAAAUUCACUAACCGGAAUAGAGUAACUGUGAAUCUGUAUUAGGUGGAGGAAAGUAACCACAAGUGCAUAAAUGUACAUAGCCUUGCUACUUCAGGGGGCAGCUUUGUGCCUAACCACCUAGCACCCUGUGUUUGCCUAAACAAAUGAAAUAAAUGAAAAUACCUUGGCUCUGUAUGUAUUUGGCAUCUUGCAUACCAGGUGAAUGACCCCACUUUUGGUAUAACGAGGUAUAACACUCGGGGUGUCCGUGUGUAGUCCUGGUCUGUGUGUGAGGGUUGGAGCUGCCCUGCCCAGGGAUGCAGCAGUACUGAAGAUGACAGGGUAGUGUAGCUUUAUGGGGCUGUGGAAGUAAGUUGGUUUGGACCAGUUCUGUUGGCAGAGACCAUACGGUCCAUCCCUGGGCAAAUAGGUGUAGGCAGCUGCUACAGUUGUGUUCACUUUUCUUUAUGGCCUGGGGCUAGGAUUGGAUCCAGUUACACCUAGACUCCUCUGAGAAGGAGUUGAGAAAGCAAGGGGGUCCAGUCUGAACCUCGUGACUGGUUGGGAGCAGCAGUUAGUGUGGAAGGGGAGGGGAUCAGAUCUGGAAGGUGCCUUAGUUUGUACAGAUGGGGCUCCCUAGCUGGCUUUUCUUGUUCUAGCUGUAGUGAGAAGGUAUAUGCAAAAGGCAGAGAGACCUCUGGCCUCACCAAGCUACCUGUGGCUGUGCAGGUGACUUGCUUUACAGGGUGUGUUUGUGUUGUUUCAGAUGCAGAGCAACGAGCAGCAAGGCCAAGGGCAGGGAAGAGGGGAGCAGAGUGCAGGCUGAAGAAGGACAGGCAUCCAGCACUGGAGUAUCGGCAGGACAGCUGGUGGUUCUGACAAGCCUGAGCUUCUCUGGCUGGAUUUUCUGGGUGCGAAUCCAAGUGUGAAGCGAGAUGUUAUCAGCAGAGCAGCCUCUGGCAAGGUGGUACACAAACCCUCCUAGUCCCCUGGGGUCCCUGCCUGGAUGAUUCAGGAUGGCCUGGUGCUGUGCAUUGCAUUUCCAGAGACAAACAGCAGCUUGGCAGCUUGUGGUCAGGAUUCCAGAGAGAUUUGAGAAGGCCCCAGAGCACCUUCUGCAUCCUCUCACAGUCAGCAUGAACUUGCUGGAGAAAUCCCAAGGCAGACUGACCAUGACACCUGAAGCAGAUACCAGCCACCGGUGUGUUCAGAUGCUCAACAAUUAUUUCUCAUACUCCCUUUCAACCACUGGAAACCUGCCGGAGUUAAAUCCCAUCUUUCAUUUCUGGAGCUUUGCUGUUUUCCUUAUUUUUCUGCCUAAGGUGCAUGAUCUGAGGUGUUGGUCUUUGAACUUGGACCAGAAGAUGCAGUUAAAAUACUCAUCUUUAUGCAGAAAGCAACCAGGGAAGACAUUCUCAAGUCAUUGCCUGACUUGGUUUAUUUCUCCAUGCAGAAAAACUCAUAGGUAUGUAAAGCAAAAAGCUCUGGUCCUAAGAGGCAGUAUGGGUUACUUUAAUAUAUGCCAAUUGGUGUGGGGAGAAACUCAUUCUGUUGUAGUAAAAAUAUCUCCAUCUUAAUAGACCUAGCAGACUUUAUUUGUUUACAGAAGCUUUAGUACCAAAAAAUACAUUAAUAAAAGAGGCUAGAAAAACAUACUAGAAAUAUUAGUCUGUACUGGCAAAGGAUUCUUUUAACAAUUUUAAAUAAAGAUUUUCCAGAAUUUGGUGGGGAGGUGGGGGGAGAAAAAGAAAUUUACUUGGAAAACCAUGCUGACUGCAAAAGGAAGAACAUCAUUUGGCAUCUGAAUUUUUUUUAACUGAUUUUUUUUGUUACCUAACCAAACACUUUCACUUACUGGUUUUAUCAAAGCUAAAAGAAAUUGUCAAAA